AUCCAGACUCCUACGGGAGGCAGCAGUCGGGAAUAUUGCGCAAUGGAGGAAACUCUGACGCAGUGACGCCGCGUAUAGGAAGAAGGUUUUCGGAUUGUAAACUAUUGUCGUGAGGGAAGAAAUUGACAGUACCUCAGGAGGAAGCUCCGGCUAACUAUGUGCCAGCAGCCGCGGUAAUACGGAGGAUGCGAGCGUUAUCCGGAUUUAUUGGGUUUAAAGGGUGCGUAGGCGGUUUUUUAAGUUAGUGGUUAAACGUCGGGGCUUCACCUUGAUUUGCCAUUAAUACUGUAAGACUCGAGUUCAGACGAGGUAGGCGGAAUAAGUUAAGUAGCGGUGAAAUGCUUAGAUAUAACUUAGAACUCCGAUAGCGAAGGCAGCUUACCAGACUGCGACUGACGCUGAAGCACGAGAGCGUGGGUAGCGAACAGGAUUAGAUACCCGAGUA
rnacentral:rRNA from 1 species